rnacentral:rRNA from 1 species
UACGGGAGGCAGCAGUGGGGAAUAUUGCACAAUGGGCGCAAGCCUGAUGCAGCCAUGCCGCGUGUAUGAAGAAGGCCUUCGGGUUGUAAAGUACUUUCAGUCGUGAGGAAGGUGUUAAGGUUAAUAACCUUAGCAAUUGACGUUAGCGACAGAAGAAGCACCGGCUAACUCCGUGCCAGCAGCCGCGGUAAUACGGAGGGUGCGAGCGUUAAUCGGAAUUACUGGGCGUAAAGGGCACGCAGGCGGUUAAUUAAGUUGGAUGUGAAAAUCCCCGGGCUUAACCUGGGAAUGGCAUUCAAGACUGGUUAGCUAGAGUCUUGUAGAGGGGGUAGAAUUCCAUGUGUAGCGGUGAAAUGCGUAGAGAUGUGGAGGAAUACCGGUGGCGAAAGGCGGCCCCUGGACAAAGACUGACGCUCAUGUGCGAAAAGCGUGGGGAGCAAAACAGGGAUUAGAUACC